AACCAACCGGGAUUGCCUUAGUAACGGCGAGUGAAGCGGCAAAAGCUCAAAUUUGAAAUCUGGUACCUUCGGUGCCCGAGUUGUAAUUUGGAGAGGGCAACUUUGGGGCCGUUCCUUGUCUAUGUUCCUUGGAACAGGACGUCAUAGAGGGUGAGAAUCCCGUGUGGCGAGGAGUGCGGUUCUUUGUAAAGUGCCUUCGAAGAGUCGAGUUGUUUGGGAAUGCAGCUCUAAGUGGGUGGUAAAUUCCAUCUAAAGCUAAAUAUUGGCGAGAGACCGAUAGCGAACAAGUACAGUGAUGGAAAGAUGAAAAGAACUUUGAAAAGAGAGUGAAAAAGUACGUGAAAUUGUUGAAAGGGAAGGGCAUUUGAUCAGACAUGGUGUUUUGUGCCCUCUGCUCCUUGUGGGUAGGGGAAUCUCGCAUUUCACUGGGCCAGCAUCAGUUUUGGUGGCAGGAUAAAUCCAUAGGAAUGUAGCUUGCCUCGGUAAGUAUUAUAGCCUGUGGGAAUACUGCCAGCUGGGACUGAGGACUGCGACGUAAGUCAAGGAUGCUGGCAUAAUGGUUAUAUGCCGCCCGUCUUGAAACACGGACCUCCUGUGUGAAG
rnacentral:rRNA from 1 species